GAUGAACGCUAGCGAUAGGCUUAACACAUGCAAGUCGAGGGGCAGCAUGGUCUUAGCUUGCUAAGACUGAUGGCGACCGGCGCACGGGUGCGUAACGCGUCUGCAACUUGCCUCACAGAGGGGGAUAACCCGUCGAAAGACGGACUAAUACCGCGUACACUCUAUUUUGGGCAUCCAAGGUAGAGGAAAUGAAAUUCGCUGUGAGAUAGGCAUGCGUCCCAUUAGCUAGUUGGUGAGGUAACGGCUCACCAAGGCGACGAUGGGUAGGGGAACUGAGAGGUUGAACCCCCAGACUUGUACUGAGACACGGACCAGACUCGUACGGGAGGGAGCAGUGAGGAAGAGUGAUCAAUGGGCGAGAGCCUGAACCAGCCAAGUCGCGUGAAGGAUGACUGUCGUAGGGAUUGUAAACUUCUUGUGUAGGGGAAUAAAGAGGGGCACGUGUGCCCCAGUGAAUGUACCCUACGAAUAAGCAUCGGCUAACUCCGUG
rnacentral:rRNA from 1 species